UACGGGGGGGGCAAGCGUUGUUCGGAAUUACUGGGCGUAAAGGGUGCGUAGGCGGUUCGCUAAGUUGGAUGUGAAAACUCUGGGCUUAACCCAGAGCCUGCAUCCAAUACUGACGAGCUAGAGUUCUGGAGGGGGUAGCGGAAUUCCUGGUGUAGCGGUGAAAUGCGUAGAUAUCAGGAGGAACACCGGUGGCGAAGGCGGCUUGCUGGGCCAAUGCUGACGCUGAGGCGCGAAAGCGUGGGGAGCAAACAGG
rnacentral:rRNA from 1 species